rnacentral:tRNA from 1 species
AUCAACCUAGUUUAUAUAAAAUAAAAGCUUGUCGAGCUUUGGAAACAGAUAAUUUGUCUGUGGUUGGUG